UACAGAGGUCUCAAGCGUUGUUCGGAUUCAUUGGGCGUAAAGGGUGCGUAGGCGGCGCGGUAAGUCGGGUGUGAAAUCUUGGAGCUUAACUCCGAAACUGCAUUCGAUAUUGCCGUGCUUGAGGACUGGAGAGGAGACUGGAAUUUACGGUGUAGAGGUGAAAUUCGUAGAUAUUCGGAAGAACACCAGUGGCGAAGGCGGCUCACUGGACCGGUAUUGACGCUGAGGUGCGAAAGCGUGGGGAGCAAACAGG
rnacentral:rRNA from 1 species